GAGGGUAGAGCUCAGUGGUAGAGCGCCUGCCCAGCACGCGUGAGGUCCUGGGUUCAAUCCCCAGCACCCCCC
rfam:Camelus ferus unplaced genomic scaffold scaffold1050, whole genome shotgun sequence.